GACGAACGCUGGCGGCGUGCCUAAUACAUGCAAGUAGAACGCACAGUUUAUACCGUAGCUUGCUACACCAUAAACUGUGAGUUGCGAACGGGUGAGUAACGCGUAGGUAACCUGCCUGGUAGCGGGGGAUAACUAUUGGAAACGAUAGCUAAUACCGCAUAAUAUUGAUUAUUGCAUGAUAAUUGAUUGAAAGAUGCUAUUGCAUCACUACCAGAUGGACCUGCGUUGUAUUAGCUAGUAGGUGAGGUAACGGCUCACCUAGGCGACGAUACAUAGCCGACCGGAGAGGGUGAUCGGCCACACUGGGACUGAGACACGGCCCAGACUCCUACGGGAGGCAGCAGUAGGGAAUCUUCGGCAAUGGACGAAAGUCUGACCGAGCAACGCCGCGGGAGUGAAGAAGGGUUUCGGAUCGUAAAGCUCUGUUGUAAGAGAAGAACGGGUGUGAGAGUGGAAAGUUCACACUGUGACGGUAGCUUACCAGAAAGGGACGGCUAACUACGUG
rnacentral:rRNA from 1 species